rnacentral:rRNA from 1 species
AUGGUGAGCCGCGAAUGGCUCAUUACAACAGCNGUUGUUUCUUGGAUCUUGAUUUACUUGGAUAACUGUGGUAAUUCUAGAGCUAAUACAUGCAACCAAGCUCCGACCUAGCGGGAAGAGCGCAUUUAUUAGACCAAGACCAAUCAGGCUUCGGCCUGGAAUCUGGUGACUCUGAAUAACUUUGCUGAUCACACGGUCCUAGCACCGGUGACAUAUCUUUCAAGUGUCUGCCCUAUCAACUUUCGAUGGUAGUUUAUGUGCCUACCAUGGUUGUAACGGGUAACGGAGAAUAAGGGUUCGACUCCGGAGAGGGAGCCUGAGAAAUGGCUACCACAUCCAAGGAAGGCAGCAGGCGCGCAAAUUACCCACUCUCAGCACGAGGAGGUAGUGACGAAAAAUAACGAGACGGUUCUCUAUGAGGCCCGUCAUCGGAAUGGGUACAAUUCAAACCCUUUAANGAGGAUCUAUUGGAGGGCAAGUCUGGUGCCAGCAGCCGCGGUAAUUCCAGCUCCAAUAGCAUAUACCAAUUCUGUUGCUGUUAAAAAGCUCGUAGUUGGAUCUUUUCUGAGGAGGGAGUCUGUCUGAUGGACAUGUACUCUUUUCCAAGGAUACUUUCACUGGUCUUCUCUUGAUGCUCUUCACCGAGUGUCCUGGGUGGCUAGCACGUUUACUUUGAAAAAAUUAGAGUGCUCAAAACAGGCGUUACUGCCCGAAUAGUGGUGCAUGGAAUAAUGGAAUAGGAUCUCGGUUCUAUUUUGUUGGUUUUAGGAGCGCGAGAUAAUGAUUAAGAGGGACAGACGGGGGCAUUCGUAUUGCGGCGUUAGAGGUGAAAUCU